rnacentral:rRNA from 1 species
ACGCGUAUGCAAUCUACCUCUUUACGAGGGAUAGCCCAGAGAAAUUUGGAUUAAUACCUCAUAGUAUAACGACUCGGCAUCGAGAUGUUAUUAAAGUUCCAACGGUAAAAGAUGAGCAUGCGUCCCAUUAGCUAGUUGGUGUGGUAACGGCACACCAAGGCAACGAUGGGUAGGGGUCCUGAGAGGGAGAUCCCCCACACUGGUACUGAGACACGGACCAGACUCCUACGGGAGGCAGCAGUGAGGAAUAUUGGUCAAUGGGCGCAAGCCUGAACCAGCCAUGCCGCGUGCAGGAUGACGGUCCUAUGGAUUGUAAACUGCUUUUGUACAGGAAGAAACACUCCCUCGUGAGGGAGCUUGACGGUACUGUAAGAAUAAGGAUCGGCUAACUCCGUGCCAGCAGCCGCGGUAAUACGGAGGAUCCAAGCGUUAUCCGGAAUCAUUGGGUUUAAAGGGUCCGUAGGCGGGUUUAUAAGUCAGUGGUGAAAGCCCAUCGCUCAACGAUGGAACGGCCAUUGAUACUGUAGAUCUUGAAUUAUUAGGAAGUAACUAGAAUAUGUAGUGUAGCGGUGAAAUGCUUAGAGAUUACAUGGAAUACCAAUUGCGAAGGCAGGUUACUACUAAUGGAUUGACGCUGAUGGACGAAAG